CUCCUGGCAUGCUAGGUAGCGGUGUCUCUGUACUCCAGACUAUUCCCCACAGGCCGGCAUCGGGCCUCCGAGGUCCUAGAGCCUACGGGGUUGCCACGGAAUGCCCGGAGCCGGAUGUGACGUCGCUGUGGAGGAAGAAGGGAGAGGUGGAGCGUGGCGCGGUGACGUCCUUCCAAGAUGGCGGAGAGAGAGUGAGGAAACUGUGUUCCCCUUUGGAUUGCUAUAGAACAAGGGUAAAAUUCGAUUCUGAUAUCAAAAUGCAGUAUUCGCACCACUGUGAGCACCUUUUAGAGAGACUGAACAAACAACGGGAAGCAGGUUUUCUUUGUGACUGCACCAUAGUAAUUGGGGAAUUCCAGUUUAAAGCUCAUAGGAAUGUGCUUGCCUCGUUUAGUGAGUAUUUUGGUGCGAUCUACAGAAGCACUUCAGAGAACAAUGUCUUUCUUGAUCAGAGUCAGGUGAAGGCGGAUGGAUUUCAGAAACUGUUGGAAUUUAUAUACACAGGAACUCUAAAUCUUGACAGUUGGAAUGUUAAAGAAAUCCAUCAGGCUGCUGACUAUCUCAAAGUGGAAGAGGUGGUCACUAAAUGUAAAAUAAAGAUGGAAGAUUUUGCUUUUAUUGCUAAUCCCUCUUCUACAGAGAUAUCUAGUAUUACCGGAAACAUUGAAUUGAAUCAACAGACUUGUCUCCUUACUCUACGAGAUUAUAACAGUCGGGAGAAAUCAGAAGGGUCUACAGAUUUAGUUCAGGCAAAUCCUAAACAAGGGGCUUUAGCAAAGAAGUCAUCUCAAACUAAAAAGAAGAAGAAGGCCUUCAACUCCCAGAAAACAGGGCAGAAUAAAACAGUGCAAUAUCCCAGUGACAUUUUAGAGAAUGCAUCUGUUGAAGUAUAUCUAGAUGCAAAUAAAUUGUCCACGCCUGUAAUAGAACAAGUUGCACAAAGAAAUAAUUCAGAACUUGAGUUGACAUCAGUUGUGGAAAAUACUUUUCCAGCACAAGAUAUUGUGCAAACUGUUACAGUGAAACGGAAGCGUGGAAAAUCACAGCCAAACUGUGCUCUGAAAGAACACUCUAUGUCUAAUAUAGCCAGUGUCAAGAACUCUUACGAGCUGGAGAGCUCCGGGGAAGAGCUGGAUCAGAGGUAUUCCAAGGCCAAACCAAUGUGUAACACGUGUGGGAAAGUGUUUUCAGAAGCCAGCAGCUUGCGAAGGCACAUGAGAAUACAUAAAGGAGUCAAACCUUAUGUCUGCCACUUGUGUGGAAAGGCAUUUACCCAAUGUAACCAGCUGAAAACGCAUGUAAGAACUCAUACAGGUGAGAAGCCAUACAAAUGUGAAUUGUGUGAUAAAGGAUUUGCUCAGAAAUGCCAGCUAGUCUUCCAUAGUCGCAUGCAUCAUGGUGAGGAAAAACCCUAUAAAUGUGAUGUAUGCAAUUUACAAUUUGCAACUUCUAGCAAUCUCAAGAUUCAUGCAAGGAAGCAUAGUGGAGAGAAGCCAUAUGUAUGUGAUAGGUGUGGACAGCGAUUUGCCCAAGCCAGCACAUUGACCUAUCAUGUUCGAAGGCAUACGGGAGAAAAGCCUUAUGUGUGUGACACCUGUGGGAAGGCAUUUGCUGUCUCUAGUUCUCUUAUUACUCAUUCUCGAAAACAUACCGGUGAAAAACCAUACAUAUGUGGUAUUUGUGGGAAAAGUUUUAUUUCCUCAGGAGAGCUCAACAAACACUUUCGAUCCCAUACAGGAGAAAGACCAUUUAUCUGCGAAUUAUGUGGAAAUUCUUACACAGAUAUUAAAAAUUUAAAGAAGCACAAAACAAAAGUCCAUUCUGGUACAGAUAAAAUUCUAGAUUCCAGUAUAGAGGAUCAUCCCUUGAGUGAACAAGAUUCCAUACAAAAAAGUCCUUUAUCAGAAACUUUGGAUGUGAAGCCUUCUGAUAUGACUUUACCACUAACUCUUCCACUUGGGACUGAGGACCACCACAUGCUUCUGCCUGUCACAGAUAAUCAGUCUCCUACAUCAGAUACAUUGUUGAGGUCAACUGUGAACGGGUAUUCAGAACCACAAUUGAUUUUUUUACAACAAUUAUACUGACUUUGUGAGGAAUAUGGAAUUGCUAAAUCGUCUCUGGUAGUAAACAUAAACAUCUCUGGAAUUUAUUGGAAUGUGAAGAAAUUAAAGAAAAUUAAGACUCAGCCUUUUUAAGAAGUCUGCUGAAAUGGAGAGGCUAUAUUUAAUUCACAUCUUCAUUAAUCCAAGCAUCUAAUGAACAAAAUUUCUUUUUAAAAACUGCUAUAGUGAUGUCAUAAUUCUGUAAGGGUAGUAUUUACCAAAUUUCCUCUAACAUGAUAAUUAGCAUUUGCCUUUACAUAAAUUAGCCUUUAAAUUUAUUAUUUUUAGGAUUAUUGGAUUGGAGUGACUAAAGUUGAUUUAUUGUCUUUUCUUCAUCACAUUAUCUGCUUCUUAGCUAAAAUAAUUUUAUUUUAAAUUGACAUGGCUUGACGCUCUUCCAGAAUGACAUGUAAAGAAAGCUUGAAGACUGAGUAUCUUUGUCUUGUCAUUCUUCUCAUAAUGCUGUAUUAUUCUUUAUCAUAAUAUGCAUAUAUUUUAGUUGUAUCUGCUAUCAUUGUAACACUCACAAUUAUCAGUUAAAUUCAUCUUUAAAUAUAUUUGCUACAGUGCAGUGUUUUGGGAAAGUUCUAUUCUUAAUUAUGUAAGUAUUGCUAAGUUUUUUUAAAGUCUUUUUAGGAUGCUGAACAUCUUAUUGAGAAAUUAUUUUCUAAAUUAAUUUUGUUUUGUAUUUGUAUUAGAUUAUUCUUUCUGUAUCAUUAGAUUUUAGGCUUUUUAAAAAACCAUAGAUUAUAUAUAAAUGAUUUUUUGCUGGUAUUUGUUUUAUGUUUAAUUUCAUAGAAUGAUUUUGAUAGACAGAUCUUAGAAAAUGGUUUUAUUUUUUUCAAAAGAAAAGGUUCUGUCAGUUCUCUUGCAACAACAGUGUGUCACUUUUCUGUAUGUUUCAUUUCUACAGCAGUUGUGCAAAUGAGAGUAGUUGAAAUGUGCUUUUAUAGAGACAAUCUACAUGUACUCAUUUUUUAAAAUAUCCUAGAACAGUAACUGACAUUUGAUGCAUAUCAGAAACAUAGUUUAAAAAUAGUGGUGUCCAAGCCCCACCCCACCUUAGGCCCUCUGAAUCAGACAAUCUCCAGAACAUGCUGAAAAGCUCCAUAGGUGAUCUUAAUGCAUACCAAACAUUGAGAACUAUUAUCCUAAACUUUUCUUGCUGUUCUUCCUUUGGGCUCUUGAUAUGUGAUAUGUAGGCUCUAUUUUUCUUUUUUAUUUUGGCCACGCCACGCGGCGUGCAGGGAUCUUAGUUCCCCGACCAGGGAUUGAACCCAGGCCCUCGGCAGUGAAAGUGCAGAGUCCUAACCACUGGACUGCCAGGGAAGUCUCUCUGUGGGCUCUUGAUAAAUGAAGCUCUUGAUAUAACUUUUCACUUUUUACUCAGAGAUUUUGAGUCUUUAGAACUUGGCUAGAAAUACCACCAAAUAAAAAGAAAUUGUACUUUAAUGCAAUUUCUGUAAAUUCUACAUUUUUACUCAUUAUAUAUGAACAAUACCAAUAUUUACUUAUUGGAGCAUUUCUUGAGACAGUGAUAUGGUCUACUCGUCUGUCCUCUACAAACCCUGCCCCCCUUCACUGAACAGAGAUCUGGUGUAUUUGCUUAAGGAAUUUAGAUAAUUAUCAUGUAAACACAGUAAUCAUUCAGAAAUAGGGUAUUUAAUUUCAAGAAUAUACUGAAAUAAACACCAUGGAUGUGAAUCAGAUAUUUGGAUUAAAAUAUCUGGCCAUUAUUUCAAAUGCUGGAAAAUUACUGAAAUCAGAAUACAUACAGCUGUAAAGAUGAAUAAGAUAAUCUCCUCUUUUAAGUUUACAGUCAAGUGCGAAAGACAAGCCUGAAUGCCAAGUGUUACAGUGGAGGAAGGAAAGAAAGGAAAUGCUGAGCAGUCAGUGGAAGUUGAGUGGACAGAGAAAGGGCUGUUACUCCCCUGGAUAGGCAAACAAGAGGAGAUGGCUAAUGGGAGGAAUUUGUACACAGCUGACUGAGGUAGGGAGAAUGGACAGAAAGUCUGAAAGGUGGUGGCAGAGAUAGGAAUCAAAGACACAUCUAGCACUGUAUCUAUACCACCUUGAAAUAGUCCUCUACCUUUAGCCUGUGCUGAAAGAGUGGGGUUAGAUAGCCAUGUUUAUAAUCCAGGAUCUCACACACUCAACUACAGUUGACUGCUGAAGGGCAGGGAUUAGACAGCCUCAUUUGUAACACAUGAUUCCAUACUUGUGACCACAGCUGACGGAACACCUUACCAGGGAGAAACAAUUCUUAGGCCAAACUGAGCGACUUUCUUAAGAAUUUGAGCUAUGAAAUUCAGAGACUUACUAGGUAUUGGUGUACAUGGAAAAGAAAAGAUCAUUUAGAUCUGGUCCAGAGUCACUGAAGCAAGCCAGGGUCUAAAGGAAAUAGUGAAGAAGCAGAGAGAGCUGAUCUAUAGAGCGAAGCAAGGGGAUGAAGUAGGUUUGCAGAACCAAGCGACUGAGGCCCUGUGAGAGAAUUGGCUUGGUUUCUGGCUUUGCAGUCCCAUUCUUGAGGUCACACAGCUAUGCUUCAUUUCCUUGUUCUGGAUGCCAGUGAUUUUUGCCUAUUAAAUUCUUACAGUAAAGCCCCCUUUUCUUUUUUUUUUUCCUUUUCUUUUUUUUGCUGUGCUGCGCAGCCUGCAGCAUCUUAGUUCCCCAGCCAGGGAGUGAACCCGUAAAUUCCCUAAAUCCACCUUUUCUUAAGCAGGCUUGAGUCAGUUUCUGUUGCGUGUAGUUAGUUAGGCAGUUUCAACUUAGAAUCCUAAGUUCUGAUCCUCAGCGAUUGAGUAUAUGGUGGUGCCAUUAACUGCUAGGGAAGAUAAGGGGGAGGUUUAUGGAAGAGAAGACUUUAUUUUGUAUGUGCUGAAUUUGAUCGGUGGUGAGAUACCUAUGUGAAAAUGUCUAGCAGUAGUUGGAAAUGGGGACUGAAACCCAGCAGAGAUUAAAGCUAGAGAUACAGAUCUUGCAGCAUAAGGCUAAUAAUUAUUGUGAUAGAAAUGAUUUAGGCAACCCUGGGAGAUGGUACAGAAGAACAAAAGAUGAGGACAAAAUCUUGGGGGAAAUGCAUUUUAAGAAUGAGCAAAAGACAGAAAAGGAGAUGGAAAGUGAUAAUAGGAAGAAAACCAGGGUGAUGCCAAGUUUCACGAAGACAAAAGUGGCUUUGUACUGAUCACGUGGUACAGAGAAAUUAGAUAGGAUGCAAAUCAAAGACAACAUUGGGUUGGGUAAUUGGGUUGGGUAAUUGGAGCAUGAUCCCCUGAGAAAGACAGCUGCAGUAAUAAUAGUGGGAGUAGAACCCAGGUGGCUAUGGUUUGAGUAGUAGAUAAGACAUAAUGAAUACUACCAUUUAGUUUGAAAAGCAGAGUGCGUACAGCAAACAAGAUCAUUUUAUCAAAUAUCUAAAAGGUAUAAACCACUUUAUUUCUUGCUUUUUUGCUUCAAACUUGAAACUUUGUUGAAUGAUGAGCAUAAUAGAGUCUGCAACACUGUAAUAUGAGGCUGGAUUCGAGCUGGAUCUUAAAGGAUGAUUGCUAAGAGGAAAAUGGAAGGAAAUGUAUAACAUGUAUAUGAUUGCAGAUUUGCUCAUUACAAUUCAGAUGUGCAGAAGAAGUGGAAUUUUCCUACAGAACUCUCGCACCCAGUGGGAAGUCUGGAAAAAAAUUAACUUUUAGUCCUAGGCACUUUAAAACCUAAUCUGAUAUAAAGCAGCUAGAAUUUAUAAUAUCUUAAGGUAGUGCUUAAACAUUUUGAAAAUUGCUGUCUUAUUUCUACCCUUUGUCUUCUCUCUAAAAUGCUGUCCACAUAUAUGGGGAGGAGAGGAGGCUUGCAUGACAAAAUGGCAUCAGGGAAGACACUGUCUUCACUCUUUAUUCUCUGGGCAUCCUGCUGGCCUCUCAUGCAAUAGGCAACAGCUUGUAAAAUAUGUGAUCAGGUUUUUCCUAGCCUGGUCAGAGCCCAGUAAUUAUUGGCUGACCUGGCUUCACCUUAGUUCUCUUGGAUGUGGAGAAGAGAGCUCUGAGACUUCUGCAAAAAUGUCUCAAGCAGCCCCGUGUAAGUCAGGUUGCAGGUUUAGCACAUGCCACUCCACUGCAGGCUCCAGAUAAGCCUACUUCCCAUUUACCUGUUUGCUUCCCACUCAGCUACCUUGUCAGUCUCCCCUUGGGAGAAUAUAGGAACUUGUGGGUCCCCUCUGUAGCACAGAGGGACAGAGAGUAGCUUGGGAAAGCAAACUGCAUUAGGAAGGUUUACUUUGAUACAGCUGUGUCCUAGCCUGGGAGUAUCUCUUUCAGAAUCCUAUGGACUCCUCUACUAUCCAGCAUAUUAGGGAAUACUUCAAAACAGUAAAAGCUGAAGAGACACUGCUACAUUAAACAACAGGAAUGAAGUGCACUAAUAUAAUGUACAAAAGAAGUCUGACACAAAGCGUAUAUAUACUGUAUGAUUCCAUUUAUAUAAAAUUCCAAAACAUGCAAAACUACUCUGUGAUGUUAGACAUCAUGAUAGUGGUUGUCUAUUGGAAGAUGGUUGGAGGUGGUUCUGGGGAAGCUUAUGGCAUUUACUGUCUUUAUCUGGGUCCUGGUUAACACAGAUGGGUUAGCUUUGGGAUAAUUCAUCUUGCUAUUCACUUAGAUACUUCCAUUUAAAAGAAGUAUAUAUUAAAGAAACUAAUUUGAAGAAUGAGAAAACCAGAGCAUUGGUUUUUAAACUUCAGUGAGAUUAAAGAUGACCUGGAUUGUAAAAAUGCGGAUUCCCCAGACUAUCCUCGGAAAUUCUGAUUCAGUAGCUCUCACUCUAAGAAUCUGUAUUUUUAACAUUUGCCCCAGGUGAUUCUGAUGCUCCAUACUUUAAAAAAUGCUGAUUUAGUAUCUUCAGUUUAAACUAUCUUUACUCUUUGGACAGAUGUUCAAGUGUCUGUGACAGAAGUCUGUCAUAGUGUUUCUCAAGUCUGAGUUUAUUGGCUCUCUAAUUGCUAGGAGUGGCAUUUCCUCACCAGCUUAAUGUUUUCCAAAUGUAAUGACAGUUGUUAGAAAUGUUUGUAUUUUUUCCUAUACCAGGGUUUUCUUGCACUCAUUGAAUUCUGCAGUUUUUCAAAUUUGAUCAAAAAACAAAAUUUUUUUUAAUUUCCUAUUGCAUUUUUAACACUAUAGACAUGCCUUUCCUCGGACAUACAACUUUUUUUUUAGAUACAGUUAAUUAUUUCUAGCUAUAUUCAGCAUGUAAUAAUGUAAAAGAACUUUGUAAAAAACAGCUAGUCUUUAUAUCUGCAGAGGAGAGAUCUUAAAGUGGAAAGAAAGUAAGAUCUGAAACAUGUAGAGAACAUUGGAAACUAAAGUUUGAUAAAAGCUAAUAACUAAGUAAAAUCAAAUUCAUCUCUCUGAAAGCAUGAGAAUGGAUUUGGUAAGGCAUUUAGGUCUUUUCUGGCUCAGUAACUCUAGAACAUUAAGUGAAAAUCAUGGCUCAUAAUUUAUCCAGAUGUUCUUCCCAUUUCAUAACCACCACCACCACCUGUGCCACCCCCUCACCACCACUACCCCAGUUUCCCCAGGGAGUAUGGAAGU